rnacentral:rRNA from 1 species
AGGGUUUGAUCAUGGCUCAGAACGAACGCUGGCGGCAGGCCUUAUACAUGCAAGUCGAGCGCAUCCUUCGGGAUGAGCGGCGGACGGGUGAGUAACGCGUGGGAAUGUGCCCUUCUCUACGGAAUAGCCACUGGAAACGGUGAGUAAUACCGUAUACGCCCUUAGGGGGAAAGAUUUAUCGGAGAAGGAUCAGCCCGCGUUAGAUUAGGUAGUUGGUGGGGUAACGGCCUACCAAGCCUACGAUCUAUAGCUGGUUUUAGAGGAUGAUCAGCCACACUGGGACUGAGACACGGCCCAGACUCCUACGGGAGGCAGCAGUAGGGAAUCUUGGACAAUGGGGGAAACCCUGAUCCAGCCAUGCCGCGUGAGUGAAGAAGGCCUUAGGGUCGUAAAGCUCUUUCGCCUGUGAUGAUAAUGACAGUAGCAGGUAAAGAAACCCCGGCUAACUCCGUGCCAGCAGCCGCGG